rnacentral:rRNA from 1 species
GUGGGGAAUAUUGGACAAUGGGCGAAAGCCUGAUCCAGCCAUGCCGCGUGUGUGAAGAAGGUCUUCGGAUUGUAAAGCACUUUAAGUUGGGAGGAAGGGCAGUAAGUUAAUACCUUGCUGUUUUGACGUUACCGACAGAAUAAGCACCGGCUAACUUCGUGCCAGCAGCCGCGGUAAUACGAAGGGUGCAAGCGUUAAUCGGAAUUACUGGGCGUAAAGCGCGCGUAGGUGGUUUUGUAAGUUGGAGGUUAAAUCCCCGGGCUCAACCUGGGAACUGACUCCAAAGCUGCAUGACUAGAGUACGGUAGAGGGUAGUGGAAUUUCCUGUGUAGCGGUGAAAUGCGUAGAUAUAGGAAGGAACACCAGUGGCGAAGGCGACUACCUGGACUGAUACUGACACUGAGGUGCGAAAGCGUGGGGAGCAAACAGGAUUAGAAACCCCAGUAGUCC